AAAAAGUUCUUUAUAAAUUAUAUUAAUAAGUGAUAAAACUAUUUGUUACAUGUGAAGAGUGUCAGUAUGGCUGAAAUUGUUAAGUUGAUUUAUGUUAUGAUUAUCUUUUUUUAUGUAUUUCUUGUUUCAAUGAACGUUGAUGCAUCAGAUGAAUGUGUAAAAGUUUCUGAUUGUUCACCUACUAAGUAUUGUUUACCUGGACGGAGAAUGAUCUGUUCAAAGGGUAAAUGCAAGUGUUUAAGAAACAUGUUCAUUCCUAUUCCCGAGUGAUUAUGCAUUUACGGCUGGACUUAAGGCAGUACAAAAACGUCCUACUAAAAUAUUUUACAAGUUGUCAUUUAGUUAUAAUGUUAGUAUCAAAUAAGUUUUUGUACUCUAAGAUAAUGAUAAUGAAAUAAAAUAAGGCAGAGAAUCAUAAAUAGUUUUUACUCUACUUGUAAUUAUAUAGUUUAAUAAAUAUGUCGUAGUAAUGAUACCAUUGAGAUUUUUCUCGGUAUUUCAUAUGCUAUAGACUAUAGUGUGAUUGAUAUACUUCGAUAAUGUAAAAUGUGUUGGAUAUUUGUA